rnacentral:rRNA from 1 species
CGAAUAAAGAGAUCUCAAGAACGAAAGUUAGGGGAUCGAAGACGAUCAGAUACCGUCGUAGUCUUAACCAUAAACGAUGCCGACCAGCGAUUAGGAGACGUUGAAUACAAAACACC